AGGGUUUGAUUCUGGCUCAGGAUGAACGCUGGCGGCGUGCUUAACACAUGCAAGUCGAGCGAAGCACUUGAGAAUGAUUCUUCGGAUGAAAUCUUUUGUGACUGAGCGGCGGACGGGUGAGUAACGCGUGGGUAACCUGCCUCAUACAGGGGGAUAACAGUUAGAAAUGACUGCUAAUACCGCAUAAGCGCACAGUGCCGCAUGGCACCGUGUGAAAAACUCCGGUGGUAUGGGAUGGACCCGCGUUGGAUUAGGCAGUUGGCGGGGUAACGGCCCACCAAACCGACGAUCCAUAGCCGGCCUGAGAGGGUGGACGGCCACAUUGGGACUGAGACACGGCCCAA
rnacentral:rRNA from 1 species